UACCUCAACACUUUCCAAAACUUUCGCCUUCCCUUUUUCUCUCUUUUUCUUCCUACUUUCUUCUAGUGCUUUCUGCAACUCUUACUCACUUUGUUUGACCCUGCUUCUAGUUGCUUUUCCCUUUGAUAAUGAAUAGACAGUAGACUUAGGAGAUGACACUUUGCUUUUCUUUGUUGGUUUGGAAGCAGUUGGAGCUUUUAGGGAAGAA
rnacentral:lncRNA from 1 species